rnacentral:rRNA from 1 species
UACGGAGGGUGCAAGCGUUAUCCGGAUUCACUGGGUUUAAAGGGUGCGUAGGCGGGCAUGUAAGUCAGUGGUGAAAUCUUCAGGCUUAACCUGAAAAUUGCCGUUGAUACUAUGUGUCUUGAAUAUCGUUGAGGUUUGCGGAAUAUGUCAUGUAGCGGUGAAAUGCUUAGAUAUGACAUAGAACACCAAUUGCGAAGGCAGCAGGCUAAACGAACAUUGACGCUGAGGCACGAAAAGCGUGGGGGAUCAAACAGG